UCAUUCCAAACCUCACUUUUUACUCCAACACUAAACCAUUUCAAACCUUCACAUCACACCACACCCCACUUUUAAACAAAAAAAAAGAGUCUUGUGAGUGUGUGGUCCCCACCAUUUCAAACCAGACUCGUCCGGUAGAACAAACCGGACCACCAUAGUCAAACUCCUCCAAUGCGUUGCAUUUCAGACUCCACCAUGUGGAUGCUCUAAAACAACAUUUGGUGACAAACAAUAAAUCAUAAAAAUGUAAUUAAACCUGCCGGUAACUUCUUGUAGCAUGUUAGAGUGAAGUGAAGCCACAGAGAAAUGAGUCUUUGGAAGGUCACCCAUGUAGACAAUAUAUAUCAUUGGAAUCAGCUGCUAGAGUGUCGCUAAAGAUGAAAGAAUAUGUGACGGUUAGUAAGAAGAGAAGCUUUAAUGAAGAUGCCAUUGAUUACAAGAUGGUGUU
rnacentral:lncRNA from 1 species